AGAGUUUGAUCCUGGCUCAGAUUGAACGCUGGCGGCGUGCUUAACACAUGCAAGUCGUGCGAGAAAGGGGACUUCGGUCCCUGAGUAGAGCGGCGCACGGGUGAGUAACGCGUGGAUAAUCUCCCCAGAAGUUCGGGAUAACGGCGGGAAACUGCCGCUAAUACCGGAUACGCUCCAAUUUCGGUUGGGGGAAAGGCGGCCUCUGUUUACAAGCUGUCGCUUCUGGAUGAGUCCGCGUCCCAUUAGCUUGUUGGUGGGGUAAUGGCCUACCAAGGCUACGAUGGGUAGCUGGUCUGAGAGGAUGAUCAGCCACACUGGAACUGAAACACGGUCCAGACUCCUACGGGAGGCAGCAGUGGGGAAUAUUGCGCAAUGGGGGAAACCCUGACGCAGCGACGCCGUGUGAGGGAUGAAGGCUUUCGGGUCGUAAACCUCUGUCGGGAGGGAAG
rnacentral:rRNA from 1 species